rnacentral:lncRNA from 1 species
GCCAGUUUCAGAAUAUUUCCUUGGCAAUGACAUGGACAGAGAGGGACUAGUUUUGAUGGCAAAGCACAUUUCCAACUUUCAGCAGCAAAUCAGGACAGGACAUUUUAUAUGAAGCAAGAAAGAAUUACCCAGCAUGUCAAGAGAAGGUGCCAAAUCUCGCCACCUCUGCCAAGUUCAUGGGCUGAAGAUGCCUGAACUAAAUGACCUUGUGACCCAGCCAAACAAACAAUCAAAG